rnacentral:rRNA from 1 species
AUGGGAACGCGAAGAACCUUACCUAGACUUGACAUCUCCUGAAUAGUGUAGAGAUACAUGAAGCCCUUCGGGGCAGGAAGACAGGUGGUGCAUGGUUGUCGUCAGCUCAUGUCGUGAGAUGUUGGGUUAAGUCCCGCAACGAGCGCAACCCUUAUUACUAGUUGCUACCAUUAAGUUGAGCACUCUAGUGAGACUGCCCGGGUUAACCGGGAGGAAGGCGGGGAUGACGUCAAAUCAUCAUGCCCCUUAUGUCUAGGGCAACACACGUGCUACAAUGGUGAGUACAGAUAGAUGCGAUACCGCAAGGUGGAGCCAAACUCUAAAACUCAUCCCAGUUCGGAUUGUAGGCUGCAACUCGCCUACAUGAAGUUGGAGUUGCUAGUAAUCGCGAAUCAGAAUGUCGCGGUGAAUACGUUCCCGGGUCUUGUACACACCG